rnacentral:rRNA from 1 species
AUUGAACGCUGGCGGCAGGCCUAACACAUGCAAGUCGAACGGUAGCACAGAGAGCUUGCUCUCGGGUGACGAGUGGCGGACGGGUGAGUAAUGUCUGGGAAACUGCCUGAUGGAGGGGGAUAACUACUGGAAACGGUAGCUAAUACCGCAUAAUGUCGCAAGACCAAAGAGGGGGACCUUCGGGCCUCUUGCCAUCAGAUGUGCCCAGAUGGGAUUAGCUAGUAGGUGGGGUAACGGCUCACCUAGGCGACGAUCCCUAGCUGGUCUGAGAGGAUGACCAGCCACACUGGAACUGAGACACGGUCCAGACUCCUACGGGAGGCAGCAGUGGGGAAUAUUGCACAAUGGGCGCAAGCCUGAUGCAGCCAUGCCGCGUGUAUGAAGAA